rnacentral:rRNA from 1 species
CGCUAUCACUCCUACGGGAGGCAGCAGUGGGGAAUAUUGCACAAUGGGGGAAACCCUGAUGCAGCCAUGCCGCGUGUGUGAAGAAGGCCUUCGGGUUGUAAAGCACUUUCAGUAGGGAGGAAGGUAGUGUAGUUAACACCUGCAUUAUUUGACGUUACCUACAGAAGAAGCACCGGCUAACUCCGUGCCAGCAGCCGCGGUAAUACGGAGGGUGCGAGCGUUAAUCGGAAUUACUGGGCGUAAAGCGCAUGCAGGCGGCCUGUUAAGUCAGAUGUGAAAGCCCGGGGCUUAACCUCGGAAUUGCAUUUUGAAACUGGCAGGCUAGAGUCUUGUAGAGGGGGUAGAAUUUCAGGUGUAGCGGUGAAAUGCGUAGAGAUCUGAAGGAAUACCAGUGGCGAAGGCGGCCCCCUGGACAAAGACUGACGCUCAGAUGCGAAAGCGUGGGGAGCAAACAGGAUUAGAUACCCUGGUAG